UACAGGGGGGGCAAGCGUUGUUCGGAAUUACUGGGCGUAAAGGCCAGUAGGCGGCCAACUAAGUCACACGUGAAAUCCCCCAGGCUUAACCUGGGAACUGCGUGUGAUACUGGAUGGCUUGAAUUCGGGAGAGGGAUGCAGAAUUCCAGGUGUAGGCGGUGAAAUGCGUAGAUAUCAGGAGGAACACCGGUGGUGGUAGACGG
rnacentral:rRNA from 1 species